rnacentral:rRNA from 1 species
AGUGGCGGACGGGUGAGUAACACGUGAGAAUUUACCUUUAGGAGGGGGAUAACAAUCGGAAACGAAUGCUAAUACCCCAUAUGCUUUUGAGUGAAAUGGAUUUAUUCGCCUAAAGAGAAGCUCGCGGCUGAUUAGCUUGUUGGUGAGGUAAAAGCUUACCAAGGCGACGAUCAGUAUCUGGUUUGAGAGGACGAUCAGACACACUGGAACUGAGACACGGUCCAGACUCCUACGGGAGGCAGCAGUGGGAAAUUUCCGCAAUGGGCGAAAGCCUGACGGAGCAAUACCGCGUGAGGGAAGACUGCCUAUGGGUUGUAAACCUCUUUUUUCAGGGAGGAAAAAAAUGACGUGUACCUGAAGAAUAAGCAUCGGCUAACUCCGUGCCAGCAGCCGCGGUAAGACGGAGGAUGCAAGUGUUAUCCGGAAUCACUGGGCGUAAAGCGUCUGUAGGUGGUUUAAUAAGUCAACUGUUAAAUCUUGAGGCUCAACUUCAAAAUCGCAGUCGAAACUAUUAGACUCGAGUAUAGUAGAGGUAAAGGGAAUUUCCAGUGGAGCGGUGAAAUGCGUAGAUAUUGGAAAGAACACCGAUGGCGAAGGCACUUUACUGGGCUAUUACUAACACUCAGAGACGAAAGCUAGGGUAGCAAAUGGGAUUAGAUACCCCAGUAGUCCUAGCUGUAAACUAUGGAUACUAGA